UACGAAGGGUGCAAACGUUGCUCGGAAUUAUUGGGCGUAAAGCGCACGUAGGCGGUCUACUAAGUCGGAUGUGAAAUCCCUCGGCUCAACCGAGGACGUGCAUCCGAAACUGGAAGACUUGAGUACCAAAGAGGAUCGCGGAAUUCCCGGUGUAGAGGUGAAAUUCGUAGAUAUCGGGAGGAACAUCAGUAGCGAAGGCGGCGAUCUGGGUGGAUACUGACGCUGAGGUGCGAAAGCGUGGGGAGCAAACAGG
rnacentral:rRNA from 1 species